CCAACAGGGAUGGCCCCAGUAACGGCGAGUGAAGCGGCCACAGCUCAAAUUUGAAAUCUGGCCCCCGGGCCCGAGUUGUAAUUUGCAGAGGAUGCUUCGGGCGCGGCGCCUUCCAAGUCCCCUGGAACGGGGCGCCACAGAGGGUGAGAGCCCCGUACGGUUGGACGCCAAGCCCGUGUGAAGCUCCUUCGACGAGUCGAGUAGUUUGGGAAUGCUGCUCUAAAUGGGAGGUAGACCCCUUCUAAAGCUAAAUACCGGCUGGAGACCGAUAGCGCACAAGUAGAGUGAUCGAAAGAUGAAAAGAACUUUGAAAAGAGGGUUAAACAGCACGUGAAAUUGUUGAAAGGGAAGCGCUUGUGACCAGACUUGCGCCGGGGCGAUCCUCUGGCGUUCUCGCCAGGGCACUCGCCCCGGGGCAGGCCAGCGUCGGUUUGGGCGGGCGGAUAAGGGCGUCGGGCACGUGGCUCCCUCGGGAGUGUUAUAGCCCGGCGCGCGAUGCUCCCGCCCGGACCGAGGUUCGCGCUCUGCAAGGACGCUGGCGUAAUGGUCACCAGCGGCCCGUCUUGAAACACGGACCAAGGAGUCGAGGUUCUGCGCGAGUGUAUGGGUGCCAAACCCGCACGCGCAAUGAAAGUGAACGUAGGUGGGAGCCUCGGCGCACCACCGACCGAUCCUGAUGUUCUCGGAUGGAUUUGAGUAGGAGCGUUGGGCCUCGGACCCGAAAGAUGGUGAACUAUGCUUGGAUAGGGUGAAGCCAGAGGAAACUCUGGUGGAGGCUCGCAGCGGUUCUGACGUGCAAAUCGAUCGUCAAAUCUGAGCAUGGGGGGCGAAAGACUAAUCGAAACCAU
rnacentral:rRNA from 1 species